AUUGAACGCUGGCGGCAGGCUUAACACAUGCAAGUCGAGCGGGGGAAGGUAGCUUGCUACCGGACCUAGCGGCGGACGGGUGAGUAAUGCUUAGGAAUCUGCCUAUUAGUGGGGGACAACAUCUCGAAAGGGAUGCUAAUACCGCAUACGUCCUACGGGAGAAAGCAGGGGAUCUUCGGACCUCGCGCUAAUAGAUGAGCCUAAGUCGGAUUAGCUAGUUGGUGGGGUAAAGGCCUACCAAGGCGACGAUCUGUAGCGGGUCUGAGAGGAUGAUCCGCCACACUGGGACUGAGACACGGCCCAGACUCCUACGGGAGGCAGCAGUGGGGAAUAUUGGACAAUGGGGGGAACCCUGAUCCAGCCAUGCCGCGUGUGUGAAGAAGGCCUUAUGGUUGUAAAGCACUUUAAGCGAGGAGGAGGCUACUCUAGUUAAUACCUAGGGAUAGUGGACGUUACUCGCGGAAUAAGCACCGGCUAACUCUGUGUCAGCAGCCGCCGUAA
rnacentral:rRNA from 1 species